UCCGGUAUCAAUAGUAUGAAGGACACACCUGUACCCAUACCGAACACAGAAGUUAAGCUUUAAUACGCCGAUGGUACUUGGCUGGAGACGGCCUGGGAGAGUAGGUCUUGCCGGAU
rfam:Peptoniphilus asaccharolyticus DSM 20463 genome assembly, contig: Pasa20463_Contig222